rnacentral:rRNA from 1 species
GACAUCCAGAGAACUUGGCAGAGAUGCUUUGGUGCCUUCGGGAACUCUGAGACAGGUGCUGCAUGGCUGUCGUCAGCUCGUGUUGUGAAAUGUUGGGUUAAGUCCGCAACGAGCGCAACCCCUAUCCUUUGUGCCAGCGAUUCGGUCGGGAACUCAAAGGAGACUGCCGGUGAUAAACCGGAGGAAGGUGGGGAUGACGUCAAGUCAUCAUGGCCCUUACGAGUAGGGCUACACACGUGCUACAAUGGCGCAUACAAAGAGAAGCGACCUCGCGAGAGCAAGCGGACCUCAUAAAGUGCGUCGUAGUCCGGAUCGGAGUCUGCAACUCGACUCCGUGAAGUCGGAAUCGCUAGUAAUCGUAGAUCAGAAUGCUACGGUGAAUACGUUCCCGGGCCUUGUACACACCGCCCGUCACACCAUGGGAGUGGGUUGCAAAAGAAGUAGAUAGCUUAACCUUCGGGAGGGCGUUUACCACUUUGUGAUUCAUGACUGGGGUGAAGUCGUAACAAGGUAGGCGUACGUGU